CGGUGAAUCAUGUUGUUUAAGUUUCGAUGAUACGCGAAGAACCUUACCACGGUCUUGACACCCCCGCCGAUGCUUUAGAGAUAAAGCGGAGGUAUUCGGGGAGACAGGUGGUGCAUGGUUGUCGUCAGCUCGUGUCGUGAGAUGUUGGGUUAAGUCCCGCAACGAGCGCAACCCUAUUGCUAGUUACCAUCAUUAAGUUGGGGACUCUAGCGAGACUGCCAGUGAUAAACUGGAGGAAGGUGGGGAUGACGUCAAAUCAUCAUGCCCCUUAUGACCUGGGCUACAAACGUGAUACAAUGGCUGGAACAAAGGGAUGCGAAGCAGUGAUGUGGAGCGAAACCCAUAAAAACAGUCUCAGUUCGGAUUGAAGUCUGCAACUCGACUUCAUGAAGUCGGAAUCGCUAGUAAUCGCGGAUCAGAACGCCGCGGUGAAUACGUUCUCGGGGUUU
rnacentral:rRNA from 1 species